rnacentral:tRNA from 1 species
AAGAGAGUAGCCUAAUGUAUAAGGCAAUUAGCUGUUAACUAGUAGAUGCGGUUAACCGCCUCUCUUU